rnacentral:misc_RNA from 1 species
GGUCUGGUCUGAAUUCAGGCCCGGUCCGAUCAAGGGCAAUGAAUCAUUACAAUUAAUCAAGCGAGCAAAUUGUUAUUUCUUGUGUUUUGAGAAUAGUUUUUGAAUUGUGCCAUGUAAAUGAUUUUGGCCUUAUUCCAUUAAGAUUUUGUUUAAAAAAAAUAUAUUAAUUAUAGUUUUGUAUGUUAUUCUAAUGGAGAUUAAAUAUUUCAGUAAAAAAAAAAAGAUGUAGAGUUUGCCUUC